CCCUUAGAUGUCCUGGGCCGCACGCGCGCUACACUGAACGGAUCAGCGCGUUUUCCCUUCCCGAGAGGGACGGGUAACCUGCUGAACCCCGUUCGUGGUAGGGAUCGGGGCUUGCAAUUAUUCCCCGUGAACCAGGAAUGCCCAGUAAGUGCAAGUCAUAAGCUUGCGUUGAUUACGUCCCUGCCCUUUGUACACACCGCCCGUCGCUACUACCGAUUGAACGUUUUAGUGAGGUACUCGGACUGAGCCUCAGAAGAUUCACGUCUUUUGUGCUGCUCGGGAAGACUCCCAAACUUGAGCGUUUAGAGGAAGUAAAAGUCGUAACA
rnacentral:rRNA from 1 species